rnacentral:rRNA from 1 species
UACGGGGGGGGGCAAGCGUUUGUUCGGAAUUACUGGGCGUAAAGGGCGCGUAGGCGGCCUGCUAAGUCGGAUGUGAAAUCCCUCGGCUCAACUGAGGAACUGCAUCCGAUACUGGCGGGCUUGAAUCCGGGAGAGGGAUGUGGAAUUCCAGGUGUAGCGGUGAAAUGCGUAGAUAUCUGGAGGAACACCGGUGGCGAAGGCGGCAUCCUGGACCGGUAUUGACGCUGAGGCGCGAAAGCUAGGGGAGCAAACGGG